GCUCCAUGAACUCUUCUGAUGAAUUUAGAUUAUAUUUUUAUAAAACUUGGAGGUUUGUUUGAUCAGGAACUACAUCAGAGCUGUUGGAGCGUUUGUCUCAGAGACGUUUCUGCUGCCAGUCCUUCAGGAGACAGAUUCAUCUGCAGUGUUCACCAGCUGCUGUCUGUGUGGACAUGUGUCCCUCAGUCUGUCUCAGUCUGUCCCUCAGUCCCAGGAGGACGUCCUGCCUGUUGAACCAGUCAGUAUUAGUCCCAGGGGGACAGCGUCUCUCAGGACAUAUGGACAGACUGACGGCUGACUGGACCUGUGGACAGUCUCAGCUUCAGGACUGAAAUCAUGYAAGUCAUGGAAGCUGCCGCCUCGUUACGACAUGUUUGUUUUCUUUUCUACAAAACCAAGAGAAGAACUUUAGCAGCUGAACACUCAGACUUUGUAAAACACAAAUAAAAUGUCAUCAAUGA